ensembl:lncRNA
CUGGACUGUCUCUUUUUGUUGUUGAGCAACUGCCGAAUGAGCAGCGUAAUAAACCAGCUUUCUACUGUGGGGUUUUGUGCCUUCUACACAGCUUAAUUCUCAUUAAUUAUCAACCUAAGCUCCUUGGUUACAGAGGAGCCAGUACCUGGCAGCAGAAGCUCAGGGAGGCUCGACAGCCAUAAAAGUCCCAAGGUUGUGUCUGGCAGUGCUGAGGCCUCACCUUGGCCUUUGCAAAUUGCCUGUACCAUUGAAGAGCAGGGGAUGGAAAGCAUUAAGAAAAGAACCCUGAGAGGAACUUCAAGGUGUUAUUCCAAGCUCUCUGGCUGUCUCAGUGUAAUCUAUUGCAAACAAAGCACUGCUGCAAGACAUGAUGACUCUUCAAACUGUCCUGUGAAAGGAGCCAAUGUAAAUGAACACAGUGGGCCAAACUCAAAGGACAAAUGGAUGCUGGAAGCUGAUGUCGCUACAGAAGUGGGAAGACACACAUACUAAUAGAGGAACUGCCUGAGCUCUUGCACUAUGAGUGGUAUUAAAGGUAACCUCAGAAAAUUUGAUCUUGGGAAGCCAUGUGAGAGUCACAAAGAGGUUUAUUUGCUCAGAAAGACAAAUCUGUAAUCGUAGAAUGGUUUGGGUUGGAAGAGACCUUAAAGACCACCCAGUUCCAACCCCCUGCCAUGGGCAGGGACACCUCCCACCAGACCAGGUUUCCCAAAGCCCCAUCCAGCCUGGCCUUGAGCACUUCCAGGGAUGGGGCAUCCACAGCUUCCCUGGGCAGGCUGUUCCAGUGACUCACCACCCUCUGAGUAAAGAAUUUCCUCCUAACAUCGAAUCUAAACCUACCCUGUUUUAGCCACGCCCCCUUGCCCUAUCCCCACACUCCCUGACCAAGAGUCCCUGCCCAGCUUUCCUGUAGGCCCCCUUUAGGUGCUGGAAGGCCUCACUGGAGCCUUCUCCAGGCUGAACAGCCCCAGCUCUCUCAGCCUGUCCUCAUAGGAGAGGUGCUCGAAGAUGAUCUCAGAAACACUUCUUCAAGUGUCUGAUGUGGUUUUUAGAUCCCCAGCAUAAUGCUGUAGUGGGCAAGUGUGAAGAUGAAGAUCUGAAAGUUUUAGAAAUAUGAACAUAAGAAGAGAGCUGAAUGUUGAUGAUGGUAUGUAGGAGUGAACGUCAGCACUUUCACACUGCUUAGAAGUUAAAGUGAGUGGAAGGAACAUCGUGAAUCUAUCAACAGUUAAAGAGGAGGAACAGAAAAAUUAAGAGGCAAGUAAAAGGACUGAGCUUUGACAGUACUAGGUCAUAUCUUCAAAGCAUGUUUACUGGUGAAAUUUCACUGAUGUCAGCACAGCUCAUGUCAUUUUACAGAAGCUGAGGAUCUUAAACUACCUAAUUUAGGUUAGAAAGUGGAGACUGUGAGGACAGAGAAAAGCUGUAACUGCUUGCCAGCGCAAGCUGUGGCCUCCCCAACAUGUGAGGUCUUAGUGCAAGCUAGACAAACUAGGGCCAGGAGUGACAGAUAUAGAUGUAGCUCAGCCUGCCAUGGGGCAGAAGGCUAGACAGAAAUUCCUUUUCAUGUAGUUUGAAGAAACUGGGUACGAAUGGGCUGAGGAGAUGGCUGCUCAGUUAAGCACCAGAUGCCUCGAGCCCUGCUCUUUCCAAGCACAGCAUGGAUACUUUAGGCCAAAGCUAUUGCAAGGCUAAGGCCAGUGACCUGAACAAGUUCUCCUGUCCUUUUGAUAUUGCCCUGUGGAACUCUAUUCUCCUGCCUGCAUUUUGCCCCACAGUGAAUAAAAGCUGAUAGCAAAAUCCUUUCCUCUCA